rnacentral:snRNA from 1 species
CUCAUUUUGGAAGACUCUGAGUU